rnacentral:pre_miRNA from 1 species
AGUGCAAUUGCUAGGUCAUAUGAUAACUCUAUGUUUAACUUUUUGAGGAACUGCCAAAUUAUUUUCCACAGUGGCUACAUCAUUUUACAUUCCCACCAGCAAU